GGCUGGUCCGAUGGUAGUAGGUUAUCAGAACUUAUUAACAUUAGUGUCACUAAAGUUGGCAUAUAACCCCCACUGCCAAAUUUGACUGGCUUUAA
ensembl:misc_RNA Y_RNA Y RNA